rnacentral:rRNA from 1 species
UACGUAGGGUGCGAGCGUUGUCCGGAAUUACUGGGCGUAAAGAGCUCGUAGGUGGUUUGUCGCGUUGUCCGUGAAAACUCACAGCUUAACUGUGGGCGUGCGGGCGAUACGGGCAGACUGGAGUACUGCAGGGGAGACUGGAAUUCCUGGUGUAGCGGUGGAAUGCGCAGAUAUCAGGAGGAACACCGGUGGCGAAGGCGGGUCUCUGGGCUGAGAUUGACGCUCAGGCACGAAAGCGUGGGGAGCAAACAGG